CUUACCUUUCUCCAGCGCCGGACUCCCUUGGCGCUGGGGAUCCCUCAGCCUCUCAGCUCCGAAUGCGACCGCAUUCAAACCGCCCAUAGGAAAGCAUUACUCAAUGCUUUCCUAUGGACGUUCAGUGUGCUCCUGUAGCGGCUGUCAGUGAGACAGCCACUAGAGGCUGGAUUAACCCUCAGUGAAACAUAGUAGUUUCUCUGAAACUGCUAUGUUUUCAGCUGCAGGGUUAAAACUAG